AAGGGUCCUCUACUGUUGUUUUCUUUUUCAUCUUCUCUCAGAUACAAACACUUAUCUCACACUCCCUCACACUCUCCCACCGGUACCUCCAUGCCACCAUCUCCACCAUCUUUUUCCGGCAAUGUUAUCGGAAAAUCCUUGAGAACCUCUAAGCAUCUUCAUCUUUUAUUUGAGUCUUUGUGACAAUGGAAUCAAAUCCAGGUCAGUGCCCUUUCACUUUGGAUGAUGCGUUCUUCCCUGUUGCCCAUGGGGAGAAGAGGUUCCUUGAUUGUGUGUGGGUGAGGCUGCUGCCCAUGGGGCCAAGAGACCACAUGCAAGAGAGGUCCUAUUUGACGCGCUCUCUCUAUUGCCCAUGGGGAGAGAGAAAAACCUUGAGGGUAUGGGUGAGGCUACUAUCCAUGGGGCCAAAAGUCUGCAUACUAGAGAGUACAAUAUCAUGCCAAUUGUGGAUGAGUGGAUCCCCUGACCGGUCUAAGUGGUAGUGUGGUAUCUUUGUGAUAAAAUUACAGUAUGUUAGAUUUUAUGGCCUUGGAAAUUAUAUUGUUAGUGCUCACAAAUUAUGGUAUAUAGUUUCAUGGUGUUAUUUUGUGAAACUUUGUGUUUCAUCAUUUAAUCAUUCUUGUUAUAUUAUUAUUGAAAAUGAUAUUGCAGUAUUCAGCUAGCAAUUUCUCAAACUAAAACAUGUUUUGUAAACUAUUCAUUAUCAUGAAACUUGCAUUUCCCCCACCCCCAUUAAUUAUACUACUUACUGGGCAUUAGCUCAUCCCACCCUCUAACAGUUUUUUAGAUUUAUUAGCUUUACCUUGGGUAGGGAGCUUACUUCCUUGGUGAUGAUUAGAGUGCUAUGUUAAAUUUGGAAACUCUUGCUGUAAAUGGUUGGUGACUCGAUAUUGCUAUGUUCAUCGAGACCUUAAUUAAUUCUACUGGAGAUUGGACACUUAAGGUUUGUUAACCUUAGGCAUGGUAGGCAUAGACUCGAUAUUGAUAUUCCUUAUUCUUGAUAAAAUUGUGACUUUGUGUAAUCCAAGAGUUUUGUAAUAUAUAUUUAUGUAUUAUGUGGAGGCACAUGAUUUUUAGUUAUUGUUUGUAAAUGUGUUAUAGAGUUUUGACUUGUAAUGUGGAGAUUUAUGGUUAUAUAUUCUUAUCCUAUGGAAAUGAAAGGAAAACAAAGAUCUCCUAUA